UCCUACGGGNNCAGCAGUGGGGAAUUUUGGACAAUGGGCGAAAGCCUGAUCCAGCAAUGCCGCGUGUGUGAAGAAGGCCUUCGGGUUGUAAAGCACUUUUGUCCGGAAAGAAAUCCUUGGCUCUAAUACAGUCGGGGGAUGACGGUACCGGAAGAAUAAGCACCGGCUAACUACGUGCCAGCAGCCGCGGUAAUACGUAGGGUGCGAGCGUUAAUCGGAAUUACUGGGCGUAAAGCGUGCGCAGGCGGUUUGCUAAGACUGAUGUGAAAUCCCCGGGCUCAACCUGGGAACUGCAUUGGUGACUGGCAGGCUAGAGUAUGGCAGAGGGGGGUAGAAUUCCACGUGUAGCAGUGAAAUGCGUAGAGAUGUGGAGGAAUCCCGAUGGCGAAGGCAGCCCCNNGGCCAAUACUGACGCUCAGCACGNA
rnacentral:rRNA from 1 species